rnacentral:sRNA from 2 species
ACAGGCGAGUGCUGAGGGAAUAAUAAGGUGCCAACCGCGGAUGCAUUUCGUUUAAAUAUUCUCGAAUUGGCUAUUUGGUUCAUUCUAUUUCCCCCCCCUACAUACUAGUACUAGUGAACAGAGCUGAAAAACCGCCAGAGAAGAAUAAAAUGAACUAAACAGGGGCUGAUACAGAGCCAGGUUAGGGUUUUUGCGUUUCUACAAAAAUCCUCCAGGUCAUUAUCUCAAAAGGGGCCGUACUCGCAGCGGGCCGUCGACGGAAGUGAUGCAAUAUGCUAUGGAGUUGCCUGAAUCAGAUUGUGUAUCCGAUUGCACUCCAACCACUCCUUGUUCUAUCUCUUUAUUUCCCCUCCCUCAUUGUUUUUGUCCCUGAGAGCGACCAAGGGGGGAAAUAAAAGCAACAUCGGCUGCGUCUUUGUACGUUCCUCAAAGCGCCACCCAUGUACAGAGUACAGUACAUCCACUUCAUGCACGCCUGUGAAACACUGAAGGAGGAGAUUUUCAAUACCCGUGGGCACGAGGCAAACGCAUUGAGACGAUGAUCAUCCCCACUUAUCUUCAUUGCUUCUCUGUGGGAUCAACGAUUACCAGCCGUGUCGGGAGUUUGAGCACCCCCGGGGAUGGCAAAAAAAAACAUGUACCCAUUUAAGGUCGAGCGGGAGGCUGCCUUCUCGUUGCGAAGCAUCAUUCUCCAUCAGUGGCAGGAUAAAAUAUUUAGUCGAUGCUUUGGGCCCCUAUUCCGCUACCUGGAUAAUUAGAUGCGCUUCAUCAUUGCCGAAAGUGGCCUGUAUUUAUCACAUCUACGGGUACAAGGCAAGCUUGGAGAUGAUUCCCUUUUAAGUCAUCAAGUAAACGGAGGCCUGAAAAGGGAUGAGACUGGCCGAUUAAUUUUGUCUCGGUUCCUGUCUCGUGCUUGGAUUGAACUCUGCGCUAGGAAAAAUAUGUCGGUAGCCGGAUCCAGCAUCAC